CCCCUCCCAGUGCAGAGCCCUAAAAUUGAAGAAGAAAAAGAUACUUUGCAUCUAGAGGAAGAACACCAACAUGGUGCUGUCCAGGCUGCUGAAGCUGGUCAUGGCAUCAAUGUGGCUGGGAUCCAGUUUUUCCCAGAAGGUAACUCAGGCCCAGCCAGCCGUGUGGGUACAGGAGAAAGAGGCUGUGAGCCUGCACUGCACCUAUGACACCAGUGCUGGAAAUUAUGAUCUACUCUGGUACAAGCAGCCCAGCAGUGGGGAGAUGGUCUUCCUUAUCCUUCAGAACUCUUACAGCCAGAAAAAUGCCACAAAAGGUCGCUACUCACUGAUUUUGCAGAAAGCAAGCAAAUCCAUCCAACUUGUCAUACCAGCCUCACAGCUGGGGGACUCAGCGGUGUAUUUCUGUGCACUGAGAGAUGACACAGUGGGAGAACUGUAG